AUGAACGCUAGCGGCAGGCUUAACACAUGCAAGUCGAGGGGUAUAGCACUUCGGUGCUAGAGACCGGCGCACGGGUGCGUAACGCGUAUGCAAUCUGCCUUUCACAGAGGGAUAGCCCAGAGAAAUUUGGAUUAAUACCUCAUAGUAUAAUGACCUGGCAUCAGGAUAUUAUUAAAGUCACAACGGUGAAAGAUGAGCAUGCGUCCCAUUAGCUGGUUGGUAAGGUAACGGCUUACCAAGGCUACGAUGGGUAGGGGUCCUGAGAGGGAGAUCCCCCACACUGGUACUGAGACACGGACCAGACUCCUACGGGAGGCAGCAGUGAGGAAUAUUGGACAAUGGGCGCAAGCCUGAUCCAGCCAUGCCGCGUGCAGGAUGACGGUCCUAUGGAUUGUAAACUGCUUUUGUACGAGAAGAAACACUCCAACGUGUUGGAGCUUGACGGUAUCGUAAGAAUAAGGAUCGGCUAACUCCGUG
rnacentral:rRNA from 1 species